CUUCUAAUGAUGAUAACUUUGUCCAGUUCUGCUACUGAAGUUUAAGCGAUGAUACUAGUGAUCUGAGGAAG
ensembl:snoRNA